AUUACCGCGGCUGCUGGCACAGAGUUAGCCGGUGCUUCUUCUGUGGGUUACGUCAAGACCCCGACGUAUUAGGUCAGAGCUUUUCUUCCCCACCGAAAGGGCUUUACAACCCGCAGGCCUUCUUCACCCACGCGGCGUCGCUGGAUCAGGCUUUCGCCCAUUGUCCAAUAUUCCCCACUGCUGCCUCCCGUAGG
rnacentral:rRNA from 1 species